rnacentral:lncRNA from 1 species
UCAAGUAGCUCUUGUGAAUUGGUGUUGUUUUGGCCUACAACAAAAUAGAAAAGGUAUGUGAAUUUGAUGGUAAAUAACCAUAAUAGAUGAAACAUUCUUCUGCUGCUACAAUCACUGUUUCUGAUCAUUAUAGUUUAUAUAUGAUGAUACUUGUUUGUGCCUUAGAGGUGUUGAUUUCAUAAUAGUAUGUGAUUAAUUUAUGAAACAUUUAAUAUGGAUGUAACAUACACUUUAUUAUGUUAAAAUAAUCAUAAAAUGGCUGCCAUGCAGGGUAAAAUUUCUGACCAUGGAAUAAUAAAUUUGAAACUCAGAAAAAUAUUGCUAAACUUGGACUUUAUAAUAAUAAUAAUAAUAUUGCUAAACUCAACUUUGCAAGUGCUGAUUUAUUUAAUUAAUCUUAUUUAGAUUGAAAGGGUCUCAUUCAUAUCAGAAAACAUGUCUGGGGUGGGCCAGGCAACAGAGAAAUUUUGAUAUUGAAAAGUGAAUGAGAUAAGGAAGAGUCCAAAUUAUUGAACAUGUUGAAGUAUUAUAAAAAUUUGUCAACUUUUAAGCCUACAUAAAAGAAGAGUAAAACAUUUUUGAGUCUCCAUUAGCCUUGUUAAAAAUUUAGUUUACUUUAAUCAAAUAACUUGUAUGUUCACGUCAAAUGACUUGUAUGAGUACAGUGUUUCAGGUUUUUGGUCACCAAAUUUACCCAUUUCUACAAGUUAUUUAUACUAUUUUUGUCUUGAUUAUGACUAGAUACUGCCUCAUAGGGCUGGGCAGCGGAUCGAGCGGUACGAGGCCAAAACCCCAAACGGACCCAACCGGGUGAAUAAGGUUGAUCCAAUUCUGACCGGAUUAAUAAUUCGGGUUUAUUUGGGUUUGGGUUUCUAGUUUGGUUUUCUCGAGCUUAAUAGAAUUGGGUCCAAAUGGAAAUAAUACAAUUUCUUGAUUUAAC